rnacentral:rRNA from 1 species
GGAAUAUUGGGCAAUGGAGGCAACUCUGACCCAGCGACGCCGCGUGCGGGAUGAAGGCCUUCGGGUUGUAAACCGCUUUCAGUAGGGAAGAAGCGAAAGUGACGGUACCUACAAAAGAAGCACCGGCUAACUAUGUGCCAGCAGCCGCGGUAAUACAUAGGGUGCAAGCGUUGUCCGGAAUUAUUGGGCGUAAAGAGCUCGUAGGUCGUUUGUUACGUCGGAUGUGAAAACCUGAGGCUCAACCUCAGGCCUGCAUUCGAUACGGGCAAACUAGAGUUUGGUAGGGGAGACUGGAAUUCCUGGUGUAGCGGUGGAAUGCGCAGAUAUCAGGAGGAACACCAAUGGCGAAGGCAGGUCUCUGGGCCAAUACUGACACUGAGGAGCGAGAGUCUGGGGAGCGAACAGGAUUAGAUACCCUGGUAGUCCAGACCGUAAACGGUGGGCACUAGUUGUGGGAACCUUCCACGGUUUCUGCGACGCAGCUAACGCAUUAAGUGCCCCGCCUGGGGAGUACGAUCGCAAGAUUAAAACUCAAAGGAAUUGACGG